rnacentral:rRNA from 1 species
CGGACGGGUGAGUAAUGUCUGGGAAACUGCCUGAUGGAGGAGGAUAACUACUGGAAACGGUAGCUAAUACCGCAUAACGUCGCAAGACCAAAGAGGGGGACCUUAGGGCCUCUUGCCAUCGGAUGUGCCCAGAUGGGAUUAGCUUGUUGGUGGGGUAACGGCUCACCAAGGCGACGAUCCCUAGCUGGUCUGAGAGGAUGACCAGCCACACUGGAACUGAGACACGGUCCAG